UAAUUGGUUUUAAUUUUCUAGUUCAUUAUAGUGACUAUAUUUGCUGUGUUGGUUGGUGGAUUUUAUUAUCAGAUUGAUACUGAUCAAAAUGGAUAUCAAAACAGGAUCGGAGCUAUCUUCUUCAUUGUGAUGAAUCAGAUAUUUGGUAACUUGUCAGCCAUUGACCUCUUUAUAAGGCAGAAGCACAUAUUCAUUCAUGAGAAUGCCAGUGGGUUCUACAGGGUUUCCUCGUACUUCAUUGCUAAGGUUCUCUGUGACAUUAUACCAAUGAGGGUAUUACCACUCUGUAUAUUUGCAUCAGUGACAUACUUCAUGAUGGGUAGGAGAGGGAGAAAGAG
rnacentral:lncRNA from 1 species